UACGUAGGGGGCAAGCGUUGUCCGGAUUUAUUGGGCGUAAAGAGCGUGUAGGCGGCCAGGUAGGUCUGCUGUGAAAACUCGAGGCUUAACCUCGAGCUGUCGGCGGAAACCAUCUGGCUAGAGUCCGGAAGAGGAGAAUGGAAUUCCCGGUGUAGCGGUGAAAUGCGCAGAUAUCGGGAAGAACACCCGUGGCGAAGGCGGGUUCUCUGGGACGGUACUGACGCCUGAGACGCGAAAGCGUGGGGAGCGAACAGG
rnacentral:rRNA from 1 species